GCUCUGUGCAUGGAGGGGCCCGUUCGGAUCGCAGCCGCCGCCGCCGUAGCCGCCGCCAGCGCGCGGGGGAUGACCUGGGGGUGGUUUUCGGAGCCGGCUGCCGCGCAGGAGGUCCGGGGACUGACUCUGCCCCGCUGAGAGUGAGCCAAAGCCUGGAAGUCUGUCCUGCCUGCUUCUGUAAUCUGGCGCUAUGCAUCCAGAUCCUCGGCCCUUACAGACACUGCUGUAUGUUGUUACUCUUGCGAUUCUGUGUCCUUCCGUGAAUUCAGACUUGGCACCGUCUUUUAUUUCUGAGCCACUGUCCGCUGUCCAGAGACUUGGUGGACCCGUAGUACUCCAUUGUUCUGCUAAGCCUGUGACCGCUCAUAUCUCAUGGUUGCAUAAUGGAAAAAGACUGGAUAGAAACAUGGAACAGAUUAAGAUGCAUCAGGGGACUUUGACUAUUCUGUCCCUUAAUCCCUCCCUUUCGGGUUCCUACCAGUGCGUUGCCAACAAUAGCAUCGGGGCAAUUGUGAGCGGCCCUGCAACAGUAUCUACUGCUGUUCUUGGUGAUUUUGGUUCACCAACAAAGCAGGUUAUUACAGCGGAAGAAAAAAGUACCGGUUUCAUUGGCUGCAAAGUACCAGAUAGUAACCCCAAAGCGGAGGUGCGCUAUAAAAUCCGGGGAAAGUGGCUGAAACAUUCCACAGAGAAGUACUUAAUCCUUCCAUCAGGGAAUCUUCAGAUUCUGAAUGUAUCUUCAGAGGACAAGGGAUCAUAUAAGUGUGCAGCUUUUAAUCCUGUCACUCAUGAAUUAAAAGUUGAACCCAUUGGCCGAAAGCUUCUUGUCAGUCGCCCUUCUUCCGACGAUUUUCACAUUCUCCACCCCACCUUUUCACAGGCACUAGCUGUGCUUUCUCAUAGCCCCGUCACCCUGGAGUGUGUGGUGAGUGGGGUCCCAGUUUCUCAAGUGCACUGGCUGAAGGACGGUCAGGACGCUGUGCCGGGAAGCAACUGGCGAAGGUUGCAUUCCCAUCUUGCCACAGACAGCAUUGACCCGGUGGACUCUGGAAACUAUUCUUGUAUAGUGGGAAACAAGUCUGGAGACGUAAAACAUGUGACUUACAUGGUUAAUGUGCUUGAAAAUGCUUCAAUUUCUAAAGGACUACAGGACCAGACAGUCUCUCUGGGUGCCACAGUACAAUUUACUUGUGAGAUUCAUGGGAACCCAACUCCAAACCGUACCUGGUUUCAUAACGCACAACCUGUUCAUCCUUCCCCACGACAUCUAACUGUAGGAAACAGACUGAAAAUCAGUGGUGUUACCAUGGAAGAUUCUGGGCUGUAUCAGUGUGUAGCAGAUAAUGGGAUUGGAUUCAUACAGUCUACUGGGAGACUUGAAAUUGAAAAAGGCAGUGGACUCAAGCCAGUUAUAAUUACAGCACCAGCAAGUACAAAGGUGGUAGAUGGAGACUUUGUUACUCUGUCCUGCAAUGCCACUGGCGUGCCAGUCCCAGUCAUGCGUUGGUAUGACAGGCACGGGUUGAUAACCAGCCAUCCGUCUCAAGUGCUCAGAUCAAAAUCCCGGAAAUCACACUUACGACCUGGGGGCUAUGACCUGGAGCCUGUCUACUUCAUCAUGUCCCGAGCUGGCUCAAGCUCUCUGUACAUUCAGGCCAUCACUCAGGAGCAUGCUGGGAAAUACAUCUGCGAAGCCGCAAAUGAACAUGGUGCCACACAGUCGGAGGCAGUCCUCACAGUUGUUCCUUUUGAACCAAAUACAAAAGCGGAAACAGUUACACCUUCCAAUCCCACUCAGAAUGAUACAAGAGAUGGUUCAGAAGCUGGAUUAUUGAGCUCAUUUCCAGGGAAGAAACACUCCAGCGCAGUGGAAUCAUCGCCAGAGAAAAACACUAGUGGUGCCUCUGUCCCGGAUGCCCCCAUCAUUCUGAGCCCUCCGCAGACCUACACAUCUGAUACGUACAACCUGGUCUGGAGGGCGGGGAAGGAUGGCGGGCUGCCCAUCAAUGCCUAUUUUGUGAAGUAUCGAAAGCUAGAUGACGGCGUUGGCCUGGUGGGAAGCUGGCACACAGUUCGAGUCCCGGGAAGUGAGAAUGAGCUCCAUCUGACAGAACUGGAGCCAUCUAGUCUCUAUGAAGUUUUGAUGGUGGCAAGGAGCGCAGCAGGUGAAGGGCAGCCCGCCAUGCUUACCUUCCGAACCAGCAAAGAGAAAACAACCUCAUCAAAAAACACCCAGGCGUCCUCUCCACCCAUGGGCAUCCCUAGGCGUCCUGUUGUUUCGGAGGCUGCGGACAACUUUGGGGUGGUACUUACAGAUUCCUCUAGGCAUAGUGGAGUUCCAGAAGCACCUGAUCGGCCUACCAUCUCUAUGGCAUCAGAGACGUCCGUCUAUGUCACUUGGAUUCCUCGGGCCAAUGGGGGUUCUCCAAUCACUGCCUUCAAGGUCGAGUACAAACGGAUGAGGACUAGUGAUUGGCUGGUGGCAGCUGAAGAUAUCCCUCCUUCCAAACUUUCUGUGGAAGUUCGUAGCUUAGAGCCAGGUUCAACAUACAAAUUUAGGGUUAUUGCCAUCAACCAUUAUGGUGAGAGUUUUCGGAGUUCGGCAUCUCGUCCUUAUCAGGUGGCUGGGUUCCCCAAUCGUUUCUCUAACCGUCCAAUAACUGGACCCCACAUUGCUUACACUGAAGCUGUCAGUGAUACGCAGAUCAUGCUGAAGUGGACGUACAUUCCAUCAAGUAACAAUAAUACUCCCAUUCAAGGAUUUUAUAUCUACUACCGGCCAACAGAUAGUGACAAUGACAGUGAUUACAAGAGGGAUGUUGUAGAAGGUUCAAAGCAGUGGCACAUGAUUGGCCAUCUGCAGCCAGAAACCUCCUACGAUAUUAAAAUGCAGUGCUUCAACGAAGGGGGAGAGAGCGAGUUUAGUAACGUGAUGAUCUGUGAAACUAAAGUGAAACGUGUUCCUGGAGCUUCUGAGUAUCCUGUCAAAGACUUGAGUACCCCUCCAAAUUCCCCAGGAGGUGGACGAAACGUUGGGCCUGCAACCAGCCCCACCAGAAGCAGCGAUAUGUUGUAUCUGAUAGUUGGCUGCGUGCUGGGUGUCAUGGUCCUCAUUCUCAUGGCUUUCAUCGCAAUGUGCUUGUGGAAGAACCGCCAGCAAAGCACCAUACAGAAAUAUGACCCUCCAGGAUAUCUCUACCAAGGGUCAGAUAUUAAUGGGCAGAUGGUGGAAUACACUACUCUGCCUGGCACAAAUCGGAUAAAUGGGAAUGUUCAUGGAAGCUUCAUAAGUAAUGGAGGUCUCAGCAAUGGCUGCUCCCAUGUUCACCAUAAGAUCUCUAAUGGAGUCAAUGGAGUCAUGAAUGGGAACUUAAAUGGAGGGCUUUACGCGGGACACACAAGCUCACUAACCAGGACGCAUGUGGAUUUUGAACAUCCUCGUCACCUAGUAAAUGGUGGUGGGAGGUACACAGCAGUACCUCAGUCGGACCCGCUGGAGCGCGUUAGCUGUCGAAAUUGUCGGAACAACAAUAGGUAAGUGGCUCUGUAUUUGCACAGGUUGUUGUGACUAUGGUAUAGGAAGGACUCUUCUUUUUCUCCCCUUUGGCAAAGGAAGUUCUUGAAAUUUUAUGUAAGAUAUAAAUCUCAGAAUAUGGAGACUUAAGUUUAAGGCCAUUACUAAUUUUUUGGCCCUGCUUUACAGUUUUUACUUUUCUGGGCUUUGGUUAUUUAGCUAUAUGGACAAUGUUCAAGACGUUAUUUCUCACUGAGAUGUUAUUAAAAGGUUUGGUGUUUUUGAAAUCUUUAAAGUAGAGGCAUUCUCUGCAUAUAGACUUUGUCUUUUCUCAUCUGUUUUUUUCCGUCUGUGUCAUGAAUGAGAGCAUGUUUGAAUGUUAGACGAAAAACCCUGUGUAUAUAGUAAUGUGUUUUCAUAGUAAUUUUACUGAGAUUUUCUUACCAGAUUAUUCAGCGCUUCUUAAAAUUAUUAUUCUUAAAACCUCAAGAUAAUUAAGUAGCAAAAUCUCACUUUCUUUUAAUUUUCUGAGUUUCAGAAACCUCUUAAGAGGUAUAUACACUCACAAUAUUUCAAACAAGAUAGAAAUAUGUAGGGUAACAUGUUCAUUUAAAUUUUGACAAGAUUCAGGAAGCUUUCGGGCUACCUCUGUAUAUAGUAACUCCAAAGGAUUGUCAGACGUUUCGUUGUAUUAAAGUUCUGUCUGUCAAAAAUCUUAGUUCUUUUUUUUUUCUGUAAGGAUGGUGUUGGAUUACGUGGUCUCAGAAGCCCAUCCCAGGUCUAAAAUUCUACAGUGUAAAAGUUGUGUUAUAGUUACUACAUAAGAUAACUGGAGUAUGGACUGGAUUUUGGAUAUUUCAUUGUUGAAAUGGGAUGGGACCUAUAUUUUUCAAAUCAACGACAAGGUUAAUAGUUGUGUCUGGGAGUUACCAAAACCAGAGCUUGGAAGGAAACGGUCAGCUAUAGAACUAACAGUCCAUUUCUCGGCAUGUGUUUUGCGUUGCAGAGCAAAAGCAAUGAAAACUUCCUCGAGACUUUUCUUUAUCGUUUACUUAGCCCAUCUUAGGGUGUGUAUGUGAGCAAGAUUCAGCUGCCUAUUUUGUGUACUAAGAUUUCUUGUUACAUUUUUUUCAUGUUUAUUUUUGAGAGAGAGGGAGAGAGAGUGUAAGCAAGCACAUGUGUGUGCUCACACAGCGCAUGUGCAAGUGGGGGCGGGGCAGAGAGAGAGAGAGAGGGAGAAAGAGAAUCCCUAGACAGUGCAGAGCCCAGCAGAGGGCUCAAACUCACGAACUGUGAGAUCAUGACCUGAGCCGAAAUCCAGAGUCAGACACUUAAUCGACUGAGCCACCCAGGAGCCCCUGCUUGUUACAUUUUUAAAUAAAAUCUAUAUGACCCAGCUAAAUUUUAAGAUGUUUUAUAACACUGAAGCCCUAUUUUUUGUCCUGAACUGGCUGUAGGCUUUAUCUCAAUUUGUUAGGAACAUGCUAAAGAUGCUUCAUACACCUGGUAAGUAAUCUAAUAGAUUUAAUGAAAACGAAUGGUAUUGCCUGAAAAUGUAAUGUAUUGUCCUUUGUGUUUCUCUUCAGCAGGUCUCAGUUCAACUGUAGGCAUCAGAGUAAUGUUGUAAGAGAGCCUCUGGUCUAAGAAUAAGUAGACAGAGGCUUUCCCACUGCCCAAAUCUAUGAUCUUGGGGAAGUUAUAUAAUCUCUCUAUAGCUAUGUCCUUAUCUGAAAAAUGAAAAAUUGUCCUAGGAAAUGUAAAACCAGCCCAACAUACUCUGAUUAUAGAUUUUGGUAAUUUGCUGCUAAUCAUGUCUUUAUGGUGGUGUUAUCAUCCUGGUACCAAAAUGCAUCCCAUUUAUAUGAAUAUGACCAGUAUCUACCGUCACGCACUCACUCAUAGCCAUUUUUAUGUGUGUGUGAGUGAGAGUAUGUGUAUAGUAUUGGGGGUUUUGUUAUACAUGUUUGGUUUUUUUCCCCUUUAAGACAGUGGACAGUUAAUAGUUCUACUAACUUUUCAAGUUGAUAACUUCUUGAAUUUCAUGUUUGGGGGUUUUCCUUUUACCUGGGAAUAUGGGUACAUUCUUUUUAGCCUGAGAAAACCAGCUUCUGUCUCACCCCAGCUUAAAUUUACUUCUUCCUACAUAAGAGUCUGCCUGUUCAGGGCAAAUCUUGGCUUGUCUGCGUUGCCUUCAAGGUUAGCCAAAGAUCUCACCUGGCUCCCAGGAGCCAUUAUGUGAUUUUGAUACUUAAUGAUUGGCCAGAUAAAUAUCAGUAAGUACCUACCUUCAACUCUGGAAAAUUGGAAUCAUUAAAUGUAAAGCUUCUCCUUUCACUUUGAAACUGAAAAGAGACAUCUUUUCUCAAGAUCCCCCAAGAUGGCAAAGUCUGUAAUAAGCUUCUGAUGCUGAGACGUAGAUGAUAUAUGAUUUACUCCCCCAAAUAUGCACAAUUUUAGUUAAUUUACACCUUUAGGAUAUUGACAUUACUAAGAAUACAUUUGCAUUUCCUAACACCAGUUGAACUAGUGUGUAUGCAAAACGAGGCAAAAUUUCAGUUCAGUUAUAUGAACAUUUAUCUGAGGGUGGAUACAGGCAUACCUCAUUUUGUUGUGCUUUAUUUCAUUGCACUCUUCAGAUGCUGUGUUUUGUCCAAGUUAAAGGUUUGUGGUAACCCUACCUCAGGCAUGUCCAUCAGUGCCCAUUUUCCGACGGCAUUUGCUUACUUCGCGACUCUGUCACAUUUUGGUAAUUCUCACAAUAGUUCACGCUUUUUCAUUAUUAUAAGUCUUAUAAUGUCAUAGUUCUCUUUCAUUAUUAUAGUCUCAUUGUUAUAGUGAUCUGAUCAGUGAUUAUGACUCACUGAAAGCUCAGAUGAUGGUUAAAGUUUUUAGCAAUAAAGUAUUUUUUUAAUUAAGCUGUGUAUAUGUUUCUUUAGGCGUAAUGCUAUUGCACUUUAUAGUAUAGUGUUAACAGAACUUUUAUAUGCACUGGGAAACCAACAGAUUCAUUUGACUUGCUCCAUUGUGACAUUUGCUUUAUUGCCGUCGUCUGGAACCAAACCUCAUUAUCUCAAAGGUAUGCCAAUAGUGCAGUUCAGUGAUUAUCACACUUUAGCAUACGUUAGAAUCACUUGGAGCACUGUGAAAACACAAAUGAGGAGGCUCUACCCUUAGAGUUGGUGAUUCAGUAGGUAUAGAGUGGGGCCUGAGAAUUUGCAUUCCUCAUGAAUCCCUACUGGGACAGAUGCUACUGGUCCUGGGACCAUGCUUUAAGAACCACUGGAGAAUCUGGCUGGUGAAGUGCAAGUAGAGGGUAGCAGGAUAUAAAAUGGAAAAGUGGAUUGAGUUUAUAUCUUGAAUGACCCUGAAUGUCACGGUGUAGUAGUUUACUUAAGAAACAUUUAUUGAGUGCCUACCAUGUACUGGGUACUGGCCCACGUCCUACCUCUGGAGAGCCCACGGUCUGAUCAUAGUGAUUUACAACAGAGCUCGAAAUAUAGUGAGCAGAGUUUGAAGAAGCACGUUGAAUCUCGUAGUUCUACAUUUAAGGAAUGGAAAAAGUCCCUGUUGUUUCAGUAAUAACAGUGCAGGAGGGAUAGGAGAUUUUUAUGUUAAUCAGAAGUGGGGGGCAUUGGCCGCCUGGGUGGCUCAGUCAGUUAAGCAUCCGACUUUGGCUGAAGUCAUGAUCUCAUGGUUUGUGAGUUCAAGCCCCACAGCAGGUAAGCUCGGGCCCCACUUCGGGCUCCACACUUUCUCCCUCUCUCUCUCUUUCUCUCUGCCCCUCACUCACUUGAGCGCUAUCUCUCUCUCUCUCAAAAAUAAAUUAAUUAAUUAAUUAAAACACAAAGAAGUGGGGGAUAUUGGUUAAAUGUUGAAAAAUCAAUGGGCCAGUUGCAUCAUAAUUCUCUGGAAGGUUUUUGAGAAGGGGAGCAGUGUAUUCAAGAGAUGCGUUUAGGCUUUGAUUAGUGGUUGCAGUACACAGGUGGGAUUGCAGGGAGGAGACCAGUUUGUUUCCAUAACGAAGACUUGGCUUUCAUGUAAGGAGUGAAGGUAGAAAGGAAGAGAUGAGGAAGGUUCUAGAGUGGGAAUCUUUAGGACUUGGCCACUGACUGAUAUGGAUCUAGAAAAAAAGGAAGAUGCAUAAUGAAGAGAAAGUUCCCAGCAUGGAUGGCAUGGUAAUUGCCACAGUGAUAGUCAUAGAAAUAAGGAACUUAAAUAAAGUGACAUUGAGAAAAGGUGAUGGAUUUGGUUUUGGGCAUUUAGAGUUCCAAGUUCCAGUUGGAUAUCUAAGCCAAGAUGACAAAUGAAAAUGCUGACGUUGGGUUUGGGGGUAGAUCAGGGCUGUGCUACAUAUCUAAGAGUCAUUUGCAUCAAAGUGAUAGAACUUAGGGCGCCUGGAUGGCUCGGUUAAGCUUCCAACUUUGGCUCAGGUCAUGAUCUCAUGGUUCGUGAGUUUGAGCCCUGCAUUGGGUUCUGUGCUGACAGCUCAGAGCCUGGAGCCCGCUUCGGAUUCUGUGUCUCCCUCUCUCUCUCUGCCCACCCCCCUCCCCAUUCAUAUUCUCUCUCCCUCUCUCUCUCUCUCUCUCUCUCUCUCUCUCUCUCAUAAUAAACAUUAAAGAAUUUUUUAAAAAGUGAUAAAACUUAAGUAUGGAUGGGAUCACCAAGGGAGAUGGUAGCUUUGGCUAAUUGAUUAUUUUUAUAUUUUUAAUUAUUUAAAGUACUGUUGUUGCCUUAUUUCCUAGGCAUUUAAAGUGAUUAGACAUCCUUUUUAUAAGACUUUCUUCUCUCUUUCAUUCUUUUUGCUUAUAGCCUUGAAAUGUCUUCAAGGAGCUGAUGAAAGGGAUGUGAUAAAAUAAGGAGAGUGAAAGGAAAAAGCAGUUAUUCAUUCAUUCAGCAAACAUUUGUUGAAGGUCUGUAGUGGGCCAAACACCAAGCUAGGUCCUGGGGGAUAUGUCGUGAGCACACCAGGCAUUGUCCUUGCCUUCACUGAGCUUACAGUUUGAUGGGGAGACAUACCUUUCCCAAAAUGAUAUAAAUGAAACAUAAAAAUGACCAUGCACUCAAAACUGCAUGCUUUAAAGGAAAAGUGAAGAAUGGCUUUGAAAGGACUGAUCUCCCUAAGCAAGUGACAUUUUGCUCUAAAGCUCUGAAGAAUUUGUAAAACUAGGGAAAAGAGAAGGGGAUAGGUUUAAAACUUUCCAGGCAAACAAGAGGUACCAUUUAUGCAGGACCAUAAAGCAGAAUGCUAGGAUCCUUACCAAGCUUCAGGAAGAUUAACGUGGCAGGAACCUGGCAAGCAAAGGGGUUAGAGGUCAAAGGUAAGUGAAAGCAGGUCAUACAGAGCCAUGGCGAGUCAGUGAGAGAUUUUAAGUAGGACAGCCUUAUGCUAGAACAUUCUGGAUGGAGUUUGGAGAAUAAAUUGGAGGGGGCAAAAGAGGAUACAAGGGACCAGUUAGAUGGCUAUUGCAGUAGCCCAGAUGAGAAGCAGUGCCCUUGGAUGGUUGCAGUAGAUAAGGAGAGAAGUAGAUGAGUUUGAGAGAUUUAGGAGGUGCCAAUUAAAAAAAAUAGACACCCUGGGGCCCCUGGGUGGCUCAGUUGGUUAAGCGUCCAACUUUGGCUCAGGUCAUGAUCUCGCAGUUCGUGUGUUGGAGCCCCGCGUCGGCCUUUGUGCUGACAGCUCAGAGCCUGGAGCCUGCUUCGGAUUCUGUGUCUCCCUCUCUCUCUGCCCCUCCCCUGCUUGUGUGCUCUCUCUCUCUCUCUCUCUCUCUCUUUCUCUCUCUCAAAAAUAAACACUAAAAAAAAUUUUUUUAAGACACCUGUGAUCAGUUGAGGGAAGAGGCAGGCAGGGGGGUAUCUAGGUAAGUGAUGCAACCUACUAAGUAGGAAUCACUGCAGGAGAUGAGGAGAAACGGUUUACCCCUUAGCACACCCUUGGGAGUCAUCCUUUUAGACUCCUUUUCAAACUCUCCUUUACCCAGGGUGGCUCUCGUAUUCCACAGAUGCCUAAUGGAUGAAGUCUUGUGUGGGACCUGUCCCUGGUGGAAUCUUACCCGUGCAGUGUCCUGCCGUGCUUUCUUGGGUUUAAACUUAAACAUGUUUUGUAGAGUGGGGACUUAAGAAACAAAUCAGUGCCAGCCUUAGACCCCUUUUACCAUCCGUCUGUUUUGGUCAUAACUAUCUGAAGAGAAAACGUUGCCUUUAUUGUCUAAAUUGGAGUCCUGAUGUGAAAAUUUGAGAACAGGUAAGAGGGGAACGUGCACUCCAGCAGUCUGUCGAGUUUUAUUUGAUGUGCUAGUGCUUUUGUGGCAUGUUGUAAAUGACUGCCUGCUUCAUCAUGUUCAGCUAAUUUGAACCCUUUUCGGGUUUUAAGAGUGAUAUGUAAUAGCUCACGAUGGACAGCUAGAAAGAAGCAUAUUUAAUGCACCUUUGUGGGGAGCCAAUCCCCUGCACUGAAGACUUAAUUGAGAAAUCCUUGUGCAUUUCAAGAAUGUAACAGAUUUUAAUCAAAUAAAUCAAAAGCUUUCUGUCUUUCCCCUUCUCUUCUCAAUUUAAAAGGCAGUGGAGCAGUUCUGGAUAUGUAAUCAAAUGGGGUUUGUCAGUUGCUUGGCUAGUUUAAUGGGAAAGGAUUGAGGUUAAAUCCUGCCUGUUUAUCAUCAGUCUUGAUAAUGUGUAGAAAAAGAGUAGAGAGGACACUGAUGGAAUUCACAGAUGAAUGAAUUGAGAGGUCCCAUCAGGAAAAAACAAGAAAUUAAGGGUCCUAGGGAGAUUAGAAGUGGGCAGGAAGUAGCCAAGUAAAAACCAGCUUGGAGAAAUGUAUAUAAUCCACCUGGGAAGAAAAAGUGCAAGCUAUACAUGGCUGAUGGUCAAAGGAGAAAUCACUUGACUGGGACUGGUGCCUUAGGAAGCACAGAUCGUAUGAAUGAUCCCCAAGCUCUUGCAUGAGGACAUCCUUGAAAGUCUGUGUGUUGCUGAGCUUGGGGACACUUUUUAACCAAUUUGGAACCUUUCACUGAUAAUCAGAUAGACGCAGAUAAAAAUAAUGUGUCAAGAUGAGUAUGCAAACAUUGCAUUAUAGCACUAGCUCUUUCUGGCCUACGAUUAGAGCUACCCAGGUGGUUUGUGAAGUAUGAAAGUGACUGCUUGUUGAGUACAUCUAAAUUCUUUGCUCCAGCAAGUGAAUUUGUUAUGACUUCAUCUAUCUAUUGCUGAUCAUGUAGCUACUUCAGAACUAGCCAUAAAAACCAAAGGCAGCAAACACAUAAAACCUAAGGUUUGGUUUCUCUUCCAUCUGUGGUAAUCUGCCCAAUUCCCUAAGAAAAAAAAAUUCAAAACAUUGUGUCUAGUUUUUUUUUUUUUUGUUACUUAAAAUUUUUUAUUAUUGAAGUAUAGUUGACAUACAAUGUUAUGUUAGUUUUACAUGUACAAGAUAGUGAUUCAAUAAUUAAUACAUUAUGUAAUGCUCACAACAGUAAAUGUCACCAUCUGUCACUGGAUGUUAUUAUAUUAUUAUUAUUAUUAUUAUAUUAUUGACUGUCACUGGCUGUUAUUAUAUAUUAUGUUAAUAUAUUAUUAUUGUAUUAUUAUUGGCUGUACUUUUCAUCCCCUUGACCUAUUUUAUUUAUUUAUUUAUUUACUUAUUUAUUUUAAUUUUAUUUUUAAAAAUUUACAUCCAAAGUAGUUAGCAUGUAGUGCAACAAUGAUUUCAGGAGUGGAUUCCUUAGUGCCCCUUAUCCAUUUAGCCCAUCCCCCCUCCCACAACCCCUCCCAUAAUCCUCAGUUUGUUCUCCAUAUUUAUGAGUCUCAUCUGUUUUGUCCCCCUCCCUGUUUUUUUAUAUUAUUUUUGUUUCCCUUCCCUUAUGAGUCUCAUCUGUUUUGUCUCUUAAAGUCCUCAUAUGAGAGAAGUCAUAUGAUUUUUGUCUUUCUCUGACUGACUCAUUUCACUUAGCACCAUACCCUCCAGUUCCAUCCACAUAGUUGCAAAUGGCAAGAUUUCAUUCUUUCUGAUUCCCGAGUAAUACUCCAUUGUAUGUAUAUUCCACAUCUUCUUUAUCCAUCCGUCCAUUGAUGGACAUUUGGGCUCUUUCCAUACCUUGGCUAUUGUUGAUAGUGCUGCUAUAAACAUGGGGGUGCAUAUGUCCCUUCAAAGCAGCACACCCGUAUCCCGUGGAUAAAUGCCUAGUAGUGCAAUUGCUGGGUCGUAGGGUAGUUCUAUGUUUAGUUUUUCGAGGAACGUCUAUACUGUUUUCCAGAGUGGCUGCACCAGCUUGCAUUCCCACAUUGUGUCCAAUUUUUAAAAUUGAUCAGUACCAUCCUUCUGAGGAAGUUCCAUAUUUCCUACUUAUAAUAUGGAGAACAGUGGCCUGUCAUCAGGGAGUCAGGUGGUUAGGAUAGUGUUUUUGGUCUUUUAUUUGUAAGACAAUGUGUGUGAGCUUGCCAUGUUCAGUAAUUUACUCAGUCGUUUAUUGUCAUCUAUUUUGUGACGGUCACAGUAAAGUAAUUCCCAAAGGGCAACUCCCACUCUGAGACUGGGGUCGUUGCAUCCAACAAAGAAUGUACAAUGAGAGUGGAGGACAGCCGUGGCCCUGGAGGAAUGUCAUCAGGCUUCUGUUGCAUAGUAACUGAUGAGCCUCCAAAAAUAAGGGCUGGAUCAGCAAUGUGACAGAGACACUGAAGCAAGAGGAAACAGAAAUAAGCUGAGUAUUUACUUUAAGUUUAUUUAUUUAUUUUGAGAGGGAGAGAGCCUGUGUGCAGGGGAGGGGCAGACGGAGGGGGAAAGCGAGAAUCCCAAGCGGCCUCUGUGCCUCUACCAUGGAGUCUGACUCAAGGUGCAGACUCAUGAACUGGAGAUCAUGACCUAAAGCCGGAGUCAAGAGUCAGAUGCUUAACUGACGGAGCCACCCAGGCACCCAGUAAGCUGAGUAUUAAAACAAACCACCACCAAGAUGUGAGUAUUUCGGAAGUUUCAAGAACAUACUCAUGAAAAUGAGUAUCGCACAUCCAAGAGAUCCAUGGAUAGUCAGUCUUUGCCCUUCAGGGAUCAUCAAAAGAGGAAACUUAAGGGGCGCCUGGGUGGCUCAGUCGGUUGGGCGGCCGACUGCGGCUCAGGUCAUGAUCUCGCAGUCUGUGGGUUCGAGCCCCACGUCGGGCUCUGUGCUAACAGCUCGGAGCCUGGAGCCUGCUUCCAAUUCUGUGUCUGCCUCUCUCUCUGCCCCUUCCCUGCUUGGUCUCUGUCUCUGUCUCUCUCUCUCUCAAAAAAAAAAUAAAUAAAUAAACAUUAAAAAAAAAUUUAGAAAAAAAAAGAGGAAACUUAAUGCAAAAUUUAUACAAUUACCUGAUCAGAGCCAUUCUGUACAUAAUCAGUCACACUUAACAAAUAUUUAACUGUGUAAACAGAAAUGGGCCACUUCUCUAGAAAAUAUUUCAGAGGUCCUAUAUAGUUUUUCUGGAAUGUCCAAAAUAUCUUUAGUCAAAUACUAAACAACAUACUCGUCGAAACACAGUCCUGUGCCACUGUUCCAAUCUUCUGUUUCCUAGUGUGUGCUAUCCAGAUUGUUGGUUAAAGACUAUUUCAUUACUUUUAUGACACCGUAACGAUCCUUUUUCUAUCUUACCAAUUUGUCAGGUCUUUCCUGUUAACCGAAAGAGAUCUUAGUAAACUAACAGGCCCCAGACCACCUGAAUUAAUUUUAGCACACAUUUUUGUACGUGGCAAGAUGCCCAGGGCUCUAUUUACCCAGUGUUUUUACAUUUAAAAUUAAGCAAAGUAGUUUCAUUGAGUCAGAGACAGCUCAGUGAAAACUUUCACUCUACCUUAAGCCAAUAAUAACUGAAAUUGAAGGAUUAUUUGAGAAGCCUAAGGUAGUGAAACUACAAACUCUUUGUGCCUGUAUAAACUGUAAAGUGUGCAUUGUAAGAGCAGCUUGAUAAAUGUCCUAUAUUUGUAGACCUACUCAUUUGACAUGUUCUCUCAUUCACUGCCUAUAGAUUUGGGUCUUUGAAGUUUACAUGUAUACACAUCACUAUUUUUUGUGAUUACCCGCUUGCUUUAGCGAUUUUAAUUCAAGUGUUAAUCAGCAAAAGUGUUUCCACAUGCUAUCUUCUUAAUUCUAUUCAGAACAGGUAUUAUAGUCCUUUUUCGUUUAUUCAUUUAUUUUUUAUUUAUUUAAUUUAUUUUUAUUUUCUGAGAGAGAGAGAGGGUGCAAGUAAGCGAGGAGCAGAGAGGGAAUCCCAGGAGGGACAGAGGGAAAAAGGGAGAGAGGGAGGAAGACAUAGAAUGAGAGAAGCGGGAUUCACCUGAAGUGGGGCUGGUGCUCACCUGACGUGGGACUUGAACUCACAAACCGUGAGAUGAUGACCUGAGCCAAAGUUAGAUGGAUUAAUGACUGAGCCACCCAUUUGCCCCUAUGAUAUUCUUUUUUCAUAUACUUUGUCAUCUAUGCUUGUGUCUUAGCACAUAACCCCCAAGUUAAAGCCAUUUUUAUGUUGAUACAUGUAGAUACCUGGAACAGAAAAAUGAUUUCCAUGUAGUUAUCCAAAUGGUAAAUUCCUGGGGCACUUGGGUGGCUCAGUCGGUUAAGCGUCCGACUUAGGCUCGGGUCAUGAUCUCACGGUUUGUGAGUUCGAGGCCCGCAUCAGGCUCUCCUCUGUCAGCACGGAGCCUGGAGCCUGCUUUAGAUCUUCUGUCCCCUUCUCUCUCUGCCCCUCCCACACUCACGCUCCGUCAAAAAUAAACAUUAAAAAAAAGGUUAAUUCCUGAUGAUUAGGGGUUAGGAUUUGGUGUACUAGAAAAUUUUAUCAGUGUGGUUCAGCAUGUUGAAAAGUGGGUAAUCUAACCAAAGUAUGAUCAAUGUCAACACUGUUCUGUUGAGAGUCACAAUUCAGAACAAAGUAAACUGCUGUCCUCUUCUGUUUCACUUAUCUGAAAAAUAGAUACCAAAGAAUAGGGAACAGUUAAAUUGUACUUCUUUUUUUUCUUGCUAAAUAUGCGUCACUUCUUGUAAAACAGCUGAAUAUUUCAUCUAUGUGUUUUCUCCGGCACAGAAAAGCAGGUUAUCAUCCGUCACAGUUGGCCAUGGCCCCUCUGUCUUGGCCAUCCCCUUAGUCCUGCCCCACCCAUGUAGUUCACCUCCACUGCCUCCCAGCAAAUCGCCCUUGCACUUCAUCGAAAAAGCUCAUCCUUUGGGGCACCUGGAUCACUCAGUCGGUUGAGCAGCUGACUCUUGAUCUCAGCUCAGGUCUUGAUCUCAGGGUCAUGAGAUCAAGCCUUGUGUGGGGGUCCUCGCUAGGCAUGGAGCCAAACAAACAAACAAACAAAUAUGUCAUCCUUUGCUUUAAAUUGAAGAAGUGAGCAGAAAAAAAGAAACUAAAAGGAAAGCAACAGAAGAAUUUAAGGCCUCUGACUAUCUGGUGAGUCUUCAUUAUUUUGUGUUAACAUUAUUUUACGUUAACAUUAAUUCCUCUUAGAGCUACCUCAACAAAUUAUUAAUUUAUACUAUUUUGUUUUUAGGGAGGUGCCCUGGUUUUUCUAAUUCUGGCAAGUAUUUUUUUUUUUUUUUUUACUACAGUUUAACUUUGCUUUUUUUAAGUGAAAACUUUUCUUUCUGCCCUGAUGAUACUUUGUGGUCUUUUAGGUUUCUAGGACCUCCGUGUUGCUUCCAGAUUCUUGCAGACACAUGGGGCCUCAAGCCAGAAGCUUAUUAGUUAGUUUGUUUUACAACAUCACCAUCGGGGGUUGUUUUUAAGGGUCUGCCUAUGCUGUGCGUCUCACUGUUUUAAGAGGUUACUCUAACACUGGGACAGUUAUCUCCUGUCCUCAAGGAGAUUGAAGUUUAAGUCAGAUAUCUUUGGAACCAGCAGAUGAGAGAAAACCCAGACAACAGAGCCAGUAUGGAACAAGGACAGACAUAACUACUAUUGUCCUACAAAAAUCCUAAGGCGUAAGUAUAUCCAUUCAUUCUCGCUAAAGUGGACAUGUCUUAUCUUAGUGCUGAGCAUGGUCUGUUAUAAGAUGUUUUCCAGUUAGUUUAAUCAUUGCCCGCCCCCUCUGAUGAUGAAUUUACUUACUUAAGAAAAAGGAUAUAAAAAAUGGCUGAUGUUUUAAUGUUUAUUAUUUAUUAGUUCAACAUUUUUGAGGUCCUACUAAUGUGCCACAAACUAUGUGCUUGGUGCUAGACAUUAUGACUUUAAUCGGAGUCCCGUAUACAUCAGUACUUUGACCACUUCUUAGGCAAUAAAACACUUUAGACCAUUUUCACUCAUUUCCUUCUUCAGGGUUUUGUGUUAUUUUUGUCACGUUUUCAUUCUACAGAUACGUAAAAUUCUCUAAGACAUUACAGCUACUGUUUUUUGAAGUCAGUAUUUAUUCAGAAUUCCUGACACUACAUUUUUUUGUUACUGUUCGUUCUUUUCAGGAUUUCCUUUCUUCUCUGUGCUGGUAGUCAUUUCCUUCAACUUGGAAAAACUCCCUUUGGGAUUUCUUAAAAUACAGGUCUGAGGGUGACAAAUUGUCCCAGCGUUUUGGUCUGAAAAUGUCUUCAGUUCAUCUUCCUUUCUGACGGAUCCUUUCUACUGUUUAUUGAACUCUAGGCUGGCAGUUACUUUCUUUUUGUACUUGCACGAUGUUGCAUUACGGCUUCUAUCGCUUCCGGUGAAGAAUCGUCUGUGCAACUGUCAUUGUUCCCUUCCAAAGUAAUAAUGUCUGUUUCUUUUGACUGCUUUUAUGAUGUUCACAUUGUAUUUUGCCUUCGGCAGUUUAAUUGUUCACAUUAAACUCUGUGGUUAAUUAUUCACAUUCGAAAGUGUGAAUCUGUAUUCUGCUUGGGGUUCAUAGGACUUCUUGAAUCUGCGGCCUGGGCUUUCGUCAGUUUUAGCAAAUUCUUAGCCCUCUGUCUCCAGAUAUGGCUCUGUCUUGUUCUCUUUUCACGAUGCUUCAUAUGUCUUUAAAACUUCUCUCUAUAUUUCCCAUCCUUUUGUCUCUGCCCUUCAGUCUGAAUAGUAUGCAGUGCCUGCUUCUAAUUAUUACUAGACUCUACGUGUCUAUUAAAACUCUUCAUCUUGUCAUCUUUUUUCUUAAAUACAUGCAUCCAAGUCUUUUAAAGUCUUUGUCUCCUAAUUCAGUAUCUGCAUCACUUAUUUUUCUCUUGAUAUGCCUGAUAAUUUUUAAUUGAAUUCUGGGCACUGCGUAUGAAAACUCACAGAGGCUCUGGAAGAAGUUUUCUUCUUCCAGAAGGGACUGCUUUUGGCAGGCAGUUUGGCAAGGGGCAGAUCGCUUUAACCCGAUCAGGGACUGAGCUGAUUAUUUACUGCUGAGUUUCAACGUCUGUAAAAGUGUUGUCUGUUUCUGCUUCACCAUUAUUUUUACAGCAUAAGCCUUCAAGGGUCCUAAUUAAAAAGUCUUUUCUCUUUGGGAGGCUCUGAACUCCAAUUUCUGUUUUCUCAGCCCCAUGAAAGUGCCAGGAGUCCUGCUUAGCUUCUUAGCUUUGUAGCCAGGACUUUCUGCUUCACGCCUCAGCCUUUUCUUUUUGCACUGAAUUGGGGAAAUGCCUCAAGGGGAAAAGGGGAUGCUGAAACUCGGGUUCACAUUUACCUUCUCUCUGAAAUCUCAGCCACUCAGGUGCUUGCUUGGGUAGUAGCCCUCUGCUGACUUCAACAGAUUUAAAAUAAAAAUUUCUUGGGGCGCCUGGGUGGCUCAGUCAGUUAAGUAUCCGACUUCCACUCAGGUCAUGAUCUCGCCGUCCAUGAGUUUGAGCCCCACAUUGGGCUCUGUGCUGACAGCUCAGAGCCUGGAGCCUGCUUCAGAUUCAGAUCUACCUUAUUUAUUUCUCCCUCUCUCUCUGCCCCUUUCGCAUGUGCAUGCGCGCGCGCUCUCUCUCUCUCUUUCUCUCAAAAAUAAAUAAACAUUAAAAAAGUUUUAAAAUAAAACUUUCUCCAUCCUUUGUAGUUGUCCUUGGCAGGAGAAUUGUUCUGAUACAAACUAAUCAGUCAUAGCCAGAAACCAGCAGUUUAAUUUUUUAAAAGUUAUUUCGAACAAAUCAUGGAAACCAUGUAGAUUCCCCCAACUAGAGUUAUUUCCAAUUUGGAGAAACCAGAAUCCUUCUUACUCUCUAAUUCUGUAAUUGUGACCUAAUGUAAUUUCUUCGGUUAUAAAACAAUUGGGUCUGAACCAGUAGGAAAGAAUAGACACUGGUCUCUGGCUGGUCACAUGGGAAGUGCCCUGUUCUCAUCAAGCACACAUCUAUUACCGUCUCACAGACAGUGUCUUUUAUACCUUCUUGUGUAACUUACUGCAUCACGCUGGAACCAUUUGUUUACUUGUCCAUCUCUGCUUGACUGGAAGCUGGAAAUCUGCCUUAUUUACCUUUAUAUUUUCAGUCUCUUACCACAGUGUCUGACAUUUAGAAGGUAUUCAGCAAAUGCUUUUAGAAUAAAGGGUUCUUCUAGGUAAGGUUAUUUAUAUAAAUGGAGAAUACCCGUUAAAUUUUCAUUAGUAGUAUUUGAAUUCAGAAAGGCUAUUUUUGUCUGUGUUUUGGUUUUGCCUCUGACCAUGCCCCACAUUUUGGGUGAAUACCCUACUUAACAGUCUGUAUUCGAUUCGACGAAUUGAAUAUGUUCAGAGGGAUUCUCAGGCUCCCUGGGUAUUGGGACAGAGGAAGAGACCUGACAAAAUCCAAGAAGGAAAGAGGGCGAUGACAUGGACAUUAUUAAAUGGCUGUCAGGAGAUUAGUGCUCACUUUUGCCAGCAUCCCAGAAAAGUUUUUAAAAUUCAGAGUUGAAUAAAAUGUAGAACGGGAUAAAUAAGGAAUGCCAUACUCUCCUGGAGUCAUGAUCUGUCUAGUCCAGUGGUCUGAUUCUACCUCCAGCACACUUUCUUCUUACUAGUGCUUCCUUCAUUUUUUAUUGGCUUAAGACAUGCAUGGGAACACUUAGGUUUUAUUUGAAUCAGGUAUGUAUUUCUUGCUAUAUAUUAUUAAAACUUAAAAUAGAGUCCUAUUAGAUAAUCCUGUACUCAAACUGUUCUGUACAAAUGAAUACCUCACAUACUUGGCUUUCCAUUCCAGGUGACUAGUAUCCAGAUUCCACUAAAUUUAUAGUUCAGAUCUUUCUUCCUGCUUAGCAUUUAGUAUUUCCAAUAACCUGAACCAACAGGGAUGCUCGUAACAGUUGCAUGGACUUCUUUUACUCAUUUGCAUAUGCCCCAGAAAUGUACCAUCCCAUGGUAAAAAAGUGGAAAUCCAAAAGAUUCUUAUUUUUAUUCCCCAACAUCGCCUAGCUCCAUCACACUGCCGGUCAGUUCUGUGUGUUUCCUACCUAACAUGCCCAAAUCAAAGCCAAAUGAAAUGUCUUCCUAAGACUUUUCUUACGAUUAUUGAAAUAAAAAAUAUAUUUCUGUUAUUCCAGUUUCUGUUUAUGAUGGAAUAGCUUGAUCAUCUAUAGGUAAGAAUAGUGAUGAAAUCUGGACAGUUUGAAAUUACUGGAGAAUAGCCUGAAGCAGGCAGGAACUGAAUAAAUCUAAACUUGAGAGACAAUGGCUGACACUUAUUUGUGAAUUUUUGCCGGAGGGCAUUCUCCAGUCUUGGGUCAGGGACCCAAACAGAGGUGUCAGAGGAUAGAGUUCAAGACCAAUAGAAAACCAGCAAAAAAAAAAAAAAAAAAGGAAAA